rnacentral:lncRNA from 1 species
GAUCUCCAAGUCAUGUGAUAUGCCUGAGGCUACCAGAAAAAUUCAUGAAUUUUAGAUGUUACUUUGAAGCAUUUUUCAACCGUUUGAAAAUAAAGAUUACCAAGAACAAGUCUUCUAGAAGUUAAUCUGCCUGAUUCCAAGUGCCAGCUUGUGCCAACUGUCUAGGCCAUAAUUCUGGGCUGAUGUCAAGUUGGAGAAGAGUAUGAACAAAGACUUCUGUUUUCCCUAAUUCCCUACUGGCCGUCCUGGGCCCUACCAAAGCCAAAUUCAAGGAGGUCUUAGGGGAUGUGGCUCCAGGGCUGACCUGACUGAAGAAUCCUUUGAAAUGUCUGUGGGUUUUCUGUUGUUUCCACUCUGUGGAGGUCCAAGGUGAACCUUGCCCCCCUAAAGAAGCAGCAGGCAGCCUUCUCCCAGGUUCAUGGUGACUCCUCCCAGUUCUCUGAGACACUUUACUGUCACACUCCCUGUUCUCGCUCAUGCCUAGUAUGGAUUGUUGUCAGAGAAAUCCACCUCCUGUCUCACUGUACCCCAACCUGAGGGAGUGUUGCAUUACAUUGUGACCAGAGGUGGGAAGGAGGUGAAUGGCAAACAAAGCCUGGGACACAAUAUCUUGAGGAAAACAGGUGCCAGGUUCCUCUUGGACUGCCAAGACACCAGAGGGCAGAGGAAAGGAGAGGCUGAUGGUCUCCAGCUCAGGACCCUCAAAGUGUCUUUGGAGACAAGAGAUGCCCCAAAGCAACAAAGUUUCAUUAACUAUGGUUUUGGUCUUUGUAAAAUUACUGUAAUAAAAAUGAUUAGGUUGAAAGACUUGGGCCUGGGUCCAUGUCCUGAAAGCAGUGAACUCAGUGAUCCACACAGUGAUACUGACGGGCAAUUUCCAGGUCC